rnacentral:rRNA from 1 species
GACGAACGCUGGCGGCGUGCUUAACACAUGCGAGUCGAACGGAAAGGCCCUGCUUUUGUGGGGUGCUCGAGUGGCGAACGGGUGAGUAACACGUGAGUAACCUGCCCUUGACUUUGGGAUAACUUCAGGAAACUGGGGCUAAUACCGGAUAGGAGCUCCUGCUGCAUGGUGGGGGUUGGAAAGUUUCGGCGGUUGGGGAUGGACUCGCAGGUUAUCAGCUUGUUGGUGGGGUAGUGGCUUACCAAGGCUUUGACGGGUAGCCGGCCUGGGAGGGUGACCGGCCACAUUGGGACUGAGGGAGGGACCAGACUCCAACCGGAGGCAACGGUGGAGAGCAUUACAGAGUGGGCGGACGCGAGAUGCAGAAGCGCCGCGUGCGGAAUGCCGGCCUUCGGGUUGUAAACCACUUUCGACUGUGACGAAGCGUGAGUGACGGUAAUGGGUAAAGAAGCACCGGCUAACUACGUG